rnacentral:lncRNA from 1 species
AUUGGUGUGGUUAGGUACGAGUUGUGUAGGAGUCGGACACUUGUAUCCUAGGCCUCUUAUAUACGGAGGGGCACCACACAUUGUAACCCAUCAUGAUGACUUGAUAGCAACAGGUACGCGGGAGAGCCGACGGCUUGUGCCCGCGCCCGGACGACCGGCGUUGCGGUAUCUUGGGGAGGAGCGCCCGUAGUCAUGCCCCGGAGAUGUAGCCAUAUCGGUGAACCUCGUUAACAAAUAUCAUGCCUCGGUGUGUCGUCUAUGAUCUUGCAUUAGCAUUUUAUUCUAACAGGGCCAGUCGGCCAGUCGUGAAUCAUCAGACCCUAUAGGUGUCGGACAUUGAAGUGUAAAUAACAUGGAUAAAUUACAGCCAAGCGGACUUAGAGACACGGCUCACCCUUUUAUGAAGUAGAGGCAUCACUUUUGUUUGCUAUAGUUACUCUUUCGCUCUAGCCCUCUCCUGGAACCAAACAAUGACUGCCCCCAGAAGAAAAUCUCAGCGGUUAGGUUCAAUAGCCGACGGUUGCGACUCGUGGAGUUCCACUUGUAGGGGGGAGCGCAUUGAUCUGGAUGAUACUCGCCGUCGCGCAGGUGCCGUAGCGCGCACCAAGGAAAUUCCAAAGAAUAGCUCUAGCCGCAAGGAUUUAUCUCGAACGAAGAUUGGCGCCCCAACAUAAUCUGCAGGACAAGGCAAUUGCUCUAAAAUUGCAGGUAAAAGUUAAACCCACGAUAAAUAAUACUCGAGACAAGGGUCUCAUCGACACCGAUGACAGUAGUAGUAGGCAUCCAUCUCAUCGUCAUACAUCAAGAAAUCUACACCAGAACAGUGAUCAGGUAUAUAUUUUUUGUUUGACAAGUGUGUUCUGUCUGACGAGACUUACACUCGGUAUUUUUUUUUGCUUUUUGCACUUUCUCAUACGAAAAUUCUCAUUAAGGGGUGCUAUGGUUCUCAGCCUUCGAUCUAUACAUUGUUCAGCGGCCCUAUUGAUGAGGUGCCGAAGGAGACAGACGGGGAGAUGAUACUUUGGUGAGAGUAAUUGAAUGUCUUCAUGGACUAUGAGUGGAAACCACGUGGUCUUGAUGAUGAGACAUCUUUGAAAGACUCAGGAGUGGAUGAAAUCUUGACCGAGGUUGCCAAGUGUUUAGGCCUUGGUGGAGGUCAGACACUUAUUACUGAAUCAGAUUAUCGUUUUAUGCACAGAGUAAAUGACGUGUAUUAUGACUGCAAGACGCUCACCCCAAAGCCACCUCAUAUGCUGACGCAAUCAAUUUCUUAGUUUUCCCUUGGCGCACAAGAAGGUCAUCAGGCACCACCUACCAAGGUGCCAUCGGGCCCGGCCAUUAUUUUGAGGGCUAACCAGUUUGGCAUUAAAUAAAUUGCAGCUCGUACUUUUACGAUGGCUCAAAAGUUUAUUCAAUCACCCUCGAUGAGGUGGAUUGAUAGUUAUCUGCACUGCUUUCAUACAGAUGUUUCUCUGUGCUGUCAACUGCUAAUAUGGGCACACAUGAUGUUGCUUAAUCCGGAAGAUAGUGAUAUUUUAAAAAAUGAUAUCAUUCGGGGAGUCAUGGCCUCGACUUAUCACUGCCAUGUCGAUUCCUCCCUAGUCGCUGCCUUCCUAACAUAUUGGAACAUCAAUGGGCACACUCUGGUUACUAGCCAAGAAGAAAUGGGCUAUCCACUCCAUAAAGUGUAUGAUGCCAUGGGCAUACCAUUCGCCUGGCACUGUGCAAGCACAUGUGCAGAACUUAUACCAUAUAUAUGUUGGUUUAUGCCCACUAAAUCCUACGCGUAAGCCUGGUUUGGUGACUAUUGAAGCAUGGGUCAAUCACUUUUUUGAGGAUAAGUUCCACUCAUUUGGGUCCUUGCUGGCAUUGUUAUGCCGAUCCGGAUGAUCCAUUGCUGCAAAAAAUGGGUCUCCGGGUCGAAGUUCAAAAUAACCGCAUGUCUGCCUCUCUAGGCGACCAAGCGAUGUAUUACCGUCUAGCAGAUCCGUCAGUGGUAUUUUGUGCUGUUUUUAUUGAUGCAUGGUUAUGUACUUAUUGUAUCCCGGUCGAGGAGGGCCAAUAUAUCUGCCCGAGGUUUUUAUCAUGCAGUGAAACUUGCAAAAGGCAAUCGUCGAGCUAUUGGGGUGGCAAGCUUGGCCUUUUUGUAGUACAGUCUAGACGAGUUUCAUCAUAAGGUUGUGAAUGUGUCAAUUUCUGCAAGUAAAUGCUCCCUAUUUAUUCCCGGGCAUUUUAUAAUGGGAUGGUAUGUAUCAUUCAUGAAAGACUUCCCACCAUCAGCAUCUCUAAGGUGUCGGAUUCCAUCGGCACCUUAUGUUAUUGAUUUAGAGCACCGAGAACCAAUGUCCCAUGUGGCAGCACACAAUCUUUUGGGGGAGUUUGACAUAACUGGAAUGAGCCUAUGCUCCUUGGAUUUCUUGGGCAGGUCCGUGAUACGCUUUCCAAGAUCUAGGGGAGCGAUUCGUCUAUGGGAUGACUACUCUCAAUAUCGUAUACCAAAAGCACUUUCCGUUGUAGCUAUUGACCUACUUAUGAACUAAUGGGCUGGUGGUGUAUUGCACCGAUGCGGCGAGCGCUAUGACAAUCAAGUGUAUUGUCCGCACCGAUUCUCCCGGAUGUUCAAUUGUGAUCAGCAUGUUCCAGAGUUGGACAUGAUUGCAGAAGAUGAGAAGACGAAUAGACUUGAUUUUCCCAGUUUUCUAACCAAUUCCUAUGAAGAGUUGUUCGAGCUCUUGGAUCGACGGCAUCUUUGUUUUCACCGACUGGAGGGUCAUACCUUCUAUGUGCAGCCCCUGAGAAGUAGAACUGGGUGUACAAUGGAUUAUAUUAACUGGCACAGCAAAGCUUUUGGCUUUCUUCAAUCACCGGAAUUAUUUUGUGCGCGUGCACAAGGGGCAAGUGUCUUCAAGUGGCAACAGCCUAUGACUAGCCCUCCUGGAGGUAAGAUACUCAUAGAUAAUAAGGGGCUGUAUUUCAAGAUGAUGCAUGUAUUAUGCAUGCUUUGUGUAUUUUCUAUUCACACAUUUUUUGUGUGUAUGUGUAGGUGACACGGGAAAAGUUGACGUUGCCAACCGAACCAGAAAUCCACCAUCAUCAGAAAAAUUGUCCGAGAGGCAACAAGACAUAGUUGUCACCUCGCCUGCGGCAACCAAGUCAAACUCUGCGAAUCCUCAAGAGAGAAUGCUAGUGACUCCAGAGAAUAAGCAGGUAAGUUCUGGAAAAUCCUUUUCCCUGGUAAAGGAGGUCCUUGGGCAAGGGAGUGAGGAAGAGGCUCCAGUGACCUUACAAUAUCCACAUGGACUGAUUGUACCAUCGCGUCGCAGUACUGUGGAGAAAAUUACUCACGAUGCAACACCCGACCGAUUAAACAUUAGAUUGUAUACACCUGAUGAUGAUAUAGCAACCCUUCAAUUAGAGAUUAUCGAUGACACCUAUGUGAAUCUGGACAAUCUUUUUUAGUCGUUAGGGGGUUCCGACUUCAAGAACCAAAAUAAUAUGUCGAGUUCAAAAUCCCAAGGAGAUGCUUCCUCGAUAUCGCAGACGGACCAACCCAUCGCGAGUAAGCUGGCACCUGGUUCGUUUAGACGAAAGUUGGCUGAACCCGAAGAAGGUGCAAAAAAGAAAAGGAAGAGCACACAGAUAGGUGGUCUCCUGUUCUUAUGAAAUGUCUUUUUAAUUCAUAUGCCCCUUUGUAUGUACUCAUAUUGCUUCCUCACUCUUACUAUUUUUUUGUAGUCGAAUCCUUUGAUGAGGAGUCAAAGCAAAUCUUGAAAUCAGUUGCUAAAGAAUGCAAGGGAUAUUAUGAAAGUGUUGAGGGACAGUUAGAUCAAAACCAGAAUGGAUCAGGUGAGGCCCAGGAUUUUAAAAUGCAUUGUCGUGUACUGAGUUUAGUGGCAACAUUCCUGUGGAUUUAAGAGGGAUAAAGGGAACCUAUUUAGCACGCUAUGUGAACUAUGUGCAAUCAGAUCUUAGGAACCUUAAUGCCUACUUAGUGAAUACCCCGUGAACAAGGCAUCAGUGGUUUCAGAGAUAAUUGCAGAUUUAGAUUUGUGGGGGAAAUUCUUCAAGGAUCCGCCAUCUGAAGUAGCGCGACUUAUGAAGGGGCUCGCUUCUUUGCGAGAGGCCUACAACAAGGAAACAUUUGACCUCACAAUGGGAUUGCUUUACAGAGAGAGCAAAUUCAAUAACGGUCAUCCGUUGUCAAAACCUUUGUUGACAAGGUGUCACUUUCUUGUAAUUCUAUGGAUGUUAUUAUGACAUCUCUUCAGGGGGAGCUUGAGGAGUAAGAGAGCAAACAACUGGACUAUUUAUCUCACGCCAUAGUAAUAAUGACUCAUAUUGUAGAGUUACAAUUGGAGCUUCAGGGAAUAGAAGAUAAUAGUUCAUGUGAGGGGCUGCUCAAGGAUCAGACAAUCUAGUGCUUGUCUAGCCAUAGAGGGCAUGUCAACAAGGUGGCAAUUUUCAAGAGCACACUAGAAAACUACCUUUCCAAGGACCAUGACAGUGCGCAUGAGCUUCACAAAAUCAGCGAGGAGUUCAAGCUGGACGAGAUGGGCUUUUCAAAACACAUGUAUUCUUUACAUGAAUUGGUCAUAGCAUGCGCUUCAGAGACUUAGUUGUUUCUGGUACACUUUGUCUGCUUCACGAGUAACUCACAUUUUAGAAAAUUCAACUUUUUUAAGAUCAAGCGUCUUAGGGAAUUGUCUCCUAAUUUGUUUAUACGCUUUUUUUAGGAAAGAUUGUACUUUGAAUUAUUGCCAUGAGCUGAGACAUUCUUCGUCAGUACUCAAUCAUUACCCUUCCCCUUUUUCUGCAAGCACGGUGGCUCAAGCUGAAUAUUAUUCUAAUGACACUCUACUUUUUUUGGCUGGACACGCGCAUCGUCAGCUGUCUGCCCCAAACUGCUACCUGUGCAGGGUAGCCCUCUGUGUAGAGGGUUAAUUUGUUAUAUCCUUCACAAAGGGGAAUCAAUGAGUACAACCAGGGGAUCAUUAAACAGCCAUCAAAAGGCUGUCUGCGUUCCUUGCUUUAAGGAAACUGGGAACCCAAAUGGAAAAUUCAAGCUGGACGUCCUAGCUUUGUGGGUACAUGGAAAUAGAAGGGCGACAGAAACUUUGUAAACAGAGAAGUUAUGCAUCUCAACUUUUAACGAGCAAGGCAUAUCAACUUAUAACAAAAUAGGGCUUGGACAAAUUCUUUAGAAAAGGCACCAGAACUAGACAAAUGCGAGGGUUUACCUUGUUCUCUGGGCUCGGCGCCGGUGUAUCGCGGCGGCGGUCGCUACCUCUGCCGACCUGCAUAGCCCUCCCAUAUCAAUUCGCUCGAGCAGCUGUCUUAGCCGAACGAGCUUGGGUCUGGCUCUCGAGGCUGGUGGUGGAGGCGGCCUGGAGAAAGAUGGGGUUGUAUGCUUAGCAGGGAUGGAGAAUGAGGCAGAGGGUCUGGCCGGGGCUGGAGCUUGACGAUGGCAAUAGUGGAUUACGACGGCGGGAGUGUGUGAGCUGUGGAUGGGGAAUACUCUUUUUUAAGAGGUCAUGGGUGGAAGACUUGAUCCAGCACCUUCUUCCUUUAAUCAAAACCUUUUUGUUUUAAUAAAGGCACGCUGUUGUGCACACACGCUUGCUCUAUUUUUGUAAGCAUGCACCAACGUGUAUGUAUUUUUA